UCUAUGCUUCUAGCUAACGUUUGCUGGUUCUCUAUGGCAGAGGGUCAGGCAGGAUGUUGACACAUCACCUGAGCCCAGGACUCAGGUGAGGUGUGCAUGUGUCAUACCUGUGCCAUGUCUGAGGAAGGUUGGGAACCCCUCAGAUGUGGUUAAGUGCUCAGACCCGCCAUUUAUAGUAGAAUGAAAGAAGGAGGCUGGCCUAGGAAGGGGUAGACUAAUGAGAUGGAUACUCAGGGAACGGCAUGAGGGAGCAAAAGCCUACCAUAGGACUUCUAAACUCCAGGGCAGCCUAUUAGAGAAGGCCAGCAACCAAAAUAGCUCAAGAGGGCCAGGUGGCCAGGGUGAACUUGAAAGCCCCUUCUCGCCAAUCAUCUAUGGGUGGCUGUUGCCAUUGCUUAGCUCCAGAUAAUUGCUGCCAUGAGAGAAUGUGUAGCCCAUGAUGGCAGGCAGUUUCUCUUUUUCAAGAGAAACUAGAAUUUUACAUGAAAUCUCUUCAUUUUUAUUUUAUUUUUAAUUGCCUUCCCUAGGUUUUCAAUGUUACCAGCAGGUUCAAUUAAAACCAACCAGCCAACCUGUGGCAUAAUAGUACAGGCAGGGACACUUCUAUAGAACCUUCUGCAGGUCACCCUAUUCCAAGGACCUGUCCCCUGAUGCUAGAGGAGCCUUUGUGGAAUGCCUGGACUCAGGCACCGAGGGCUACUUCCUCAAGAUGGCUCUUCCGGUCUCCCUGGAGGUGCCUACCUUUAACGCUGGGCACUCGUCCCUAUCAGG